GGCCAUAAAUUGCAUAUAUUUAGCCAUUGUUGCCUCACAUUUUAAUACUUUUAAUUGUCUUUUGAGUACAAAAUAUAUUGAUUUGUGCUUAAUGUUAUAUUUUAUUAUGUAGGAAUAAAGCGGUGUGAAGAUAAAGAGAUUUAGAGCAAAAUUUAAUAAAACACGGAAGAAAGAGAAAAAGAAAAUUAAAAAAAAGAAGAAGGGGGACAUGAGGUAGUGGGCUAAUGAUUAAAACAAUAAUUAUGCAAUGACUGGGAACUUUGAAAGUGCAAGAAAUUGAAGAAAAGAAGAAGAACGUACUUGAAGGCAGUGGAUGGGCGAUCAGUGUGCGUCGCACCUGUGACGCCAGAAAAACAGUCUCUGAAUCUGUUUUGGCUUUCCGCGUUCCACCCGCGACGCGGGUGUGACGUGAGCCCGCUAUAUUUUUCCUAGUCUGAGUUAGAUUUAAUUUUUAAAAGCCCAAACCUUUUGGUACCUUAUAAAUACAUUUUCUACACGGUUUUAACAUAAUUUUGGAUAACUUGAAACCCUUAGUUCAGAAUUUUGGACGUAGAGAGAGUUUGGAGCCGCCGUGGAAACUGUAGUUACAGGGUUUUAUCUUCUUUUCUCUGUAAUACUUAUUUUGACGUUUUUAUUCGGAUGAUUUGUUGUUUUUCUUCCAUGUCUAUGUGGAGCUAAACUCUUUAGUUCUUGGGCUUUGACACAAACAUGAAAGUUGACGUUUGAUUUUCGUUUCUAUCUAUUAAAUUUUCAUAUUUUGGGUUGCUUAUUUAUUCUUGUGCUUAAUUGUUUAAUUACUAGAUCACUAAUUGAACACUAUCUGUGGUGCGUGAAUUGGACUUGAGAGAGGGAAUUCACGUACGUAAUAAGAAUAAAUAGAGUUUGUUCGAUAUAAUCGUUUCGCUAAUGAGGAUAGGAAUAUACCCUUUAGCCUUUCUUAGUUGAAUACGGAGAAGUAAAUGCGUUUUUGUUAUCUCUGACGACCAUAGAGAUAUAGGCGUUAUAGUAGCAUCUACAGGCUUGUGAGUAGUUCGAGAGAGCAUCAUAAAGUUACAAUUAACCCGUCAACUAGUAACCCAUAGAUAGAAUGAUUUGAAAACUCAACUGGAUUGUUAGUGGUCAUAGCCGUAGAUCUAUCUAUUCUCUGAUAAAAAUCUGCUCUUUCUUGGUUGAAGUUCAUUAUUUAUUUUAUUUUAUUUUUAGUUAGUUAAUAAUUAUAUCUUGAGAUUUUUAAUUCUUGUUUAGAUAAUUAGCAUUAGUUUAAUUUAGUAAAUAGUUAAUCAUAAGUCCCUGUGGGUACGAUAUCUGGACUUUAUUCCUAUAUUACUUGUACGAUCGCGUAUGCUUGCGUGUGCGUUUAGGAGCAACUCAGAUAAUGGACUCAGUAUUAUAUUUUGUUACGGUAGCUUUUACUUCUUCCUCUAGCAUUUGCUGGUGGCGAUCAUUUUGCUGACUUUAUAUCAAGCUUCUUACUAAUCUACCGGCUUAUUUGCUUUGUUUAGCUAACUGCUUCCUGAUAGUAUUUACUUAAUUCCCAUAUUUCUUUUCAUUCCCUCUUAUUGAUUAAUUAUUCCAUGCAGAGUGAAGUUGUGUCAAACUAACUUGAUCGCCCAGUAUAAUCCCACUCCUUAAUCACCCCGAUUUAUGUUCUAAAAAGGAGCAUGGUCUUCUUUAAGGGAUUAGAAGUUCAAUUUCAGGCCUUUAGUUGCUUAGGACUUUGCUAGAAAUGUAUCUCUUAGCAAUUUCAAUUUGGUUCAUUAAUCAUUUUUUUUUUGUUAAGAUAAUCCUAAGUUUACUUUGAAAGUGGCGAAAAUAGUAAGGACAUCUCUCUCUAUUUAUUUUAUUUCCCAUAUGAACACUUGAUUUCAUGCUAUCUGGUUCGAUAUUGGCAAAUUAUCAUAUGCAAUAAAUAUCAUCACAAUUUGUAUGGCAGGAAGACUUUCAGAUAUGAUAGUGAAUUUAUCUUGUGAUAAUUACGCAUAUUGAGAAGCUAUUAUAGGGAGCAAUUCCAAAGUACAUACUUAGAAUGAAGUGUAUUCUACAAAACUUUGCACUUGAACUAUUUUGUGAAUAUAAGUUUUUAGGUAUUUUGUAUAUGUGUACUUUCAGAAUUGUUAUGACAUCAAAUAACAAUGUGUAGGUAAAAUAAUAUGAUUGUGUGUUGACUGCCCAUAUACCCAAAGAUGCUACACUUCAAUAUUAAAAACUUUUAACUGAUUUUAAAGACUAUCUUUUUGAAAAGCUAGCUAGGUAAUCCAGUUGAAAAAAUGUCGCAGCACUAUUCGAGAUUCGCACGAGAAAGUGCUCUUGUGAUACAUGCCGCUAAAAUCUAUGGGCCAUUUCCAAAAAUGAAUGUGAUCUUAGUUUUUGGAAAAUUGAAACUGUAGAUUGGCCGCAUUCAUGCUAUUGUCUAUCCUCACAGGUAGCUCUUCUUUCAACAAGGUCGGGAGAAAAUGUGAAUGCUGCGGACAAGAAAGGAUGCAGGUUGCUUGAACAAGUUUCAGAUGAGCCCAUCAUUGAUAUGUUGGUAAUAAUGCGUAAUGUAAAACCGCC